rnacentral:rRNA from 1 species
UACGAAGGGGGCAAGCGUUGUUCGGAAUUACUGGGCGUAAAGGGCGCGCAGGCGGCCGAUCAAGUCAGAUGUGAAAGCCCCGGGCUCAACCUGGGAAUAGCAUUUGGGACUGGUCGGCUAGAGUUCGGGAGAGGAGAGUGGAAUUCCCAGUGUAGAGGUGAAAUUCGUAGAUAUUGGGAAGAACACCGGUGGCGAAGGCGGCUCUCUGGACCGAUACUGACGCUCAUGGCACGAA